AACGAACGCUGGCGGCAGGCCUAACACAUGCAAGUCGAGCGCCCGCAAGGGAGCGGCGGACGGGUGAGUAACGCGUGGGAACGUGCCCUUUGCUACGGAAUAGCCUCGGGAAACUGAGAGCAAUACCGUAUGUGCCCUUCGGGGGAAAGAUUUAUCGGCAAAGGAUCGGCCCGCGUUGGAUUAGGUAGUUGGUGGGGUAAUGGCCUACCAAGCCGAAGAUCCAUAGCUGGUUUGAGAGGAUGAUCAGCCACACUGGGACUGAGACACGGCCCAGACUCCUACGGGAGGCAGCAGUGGGGAAUCUUAGACAAUGGGCGCAAGCCUGAUCUAGCCAUGCCGCGUGAGCGAUGAAGGCCUUAGGGUUGUAAAGCUCUUUCGUGGGGGAAGAUAAUGACGGUUCCCCAAGAAGAAGCCCCGGCUAACUCCGUGCCAGCCGCCGCCGUAACAC
rnacentral:rRNA from 1 species